CGUAUGUAACCUACCUAUAACAGGGGCAUAACACUGAGAAAUUGGUACUAAUUCCCCAUAAUAUUCGGAGAGGCAUCUCUCCGGGUUGAAAACUCCGGUGGUUAUAGAUGGACAUGCGUUGUAUUAGCUAGUUGGUGAGGUAACGGCUCACCAAGGCAACGAUACAUAGGGGGACUGAGAGGUUAACCCCCCACACUGGUACUGAGACACGGAUCAGACUCCUACGGGAGGCAGCAGUGAGGAAUAUUGGUCAAUGGACGCAAGUCUGAACCAGCCAUGCCGCGUGCAGGAAGACGGCUCUAUGAGUUGUAAACUGCUUUUGUACGAGGGUAAACUCACCUACGUGUAGGUGACUGAAAGUAUCGUACGAAUAAGGAUCGGCUAACUCCGUGCCAGCAGCCGCGGUAAUACGGGGGAUUCAAGCGUUAUCCGGAUUUAUUGGGUUUAAAGGGUGCGUAGGCGGUUUGAUAAGUUAGAGGUGAAAUCCCGGGGCUUAACUCCGGAACUGCCUCUAAUACUGUUAGACUAGAGAGUAGUUGCGGUAGGCGGAAUGUAUGGUGUAGCGGUGAAAUGCUUAGAGAUCAUACAGAACACCGAUUGCG
rnacentral:rRNA from 1 species